GGUCGGAUAAGGCGGUUACGCCGCAUCCGACAUCUAACGCCCAAGCCGGUUGCCUGAUGCGACGCUGGCGCGUCUUAUCAGGCC
rfam:Escherichia coli str. K-12 substr. MG1655, complete genome.